rnacentral:rRNA from 1 species
UACAGAGGUCUCAAGCGUUGUCCGGAAUCAUUGGGCGUAAAGCGCGCGUAGGCGGCCCGGUAAGUCCGUUGUAAAAGUCAAAGGCUCAACCUUUGAAUGCCGAUGGAUACUGCCGGGCUAGAGUCCGGAAGAGGCGAGUAGAAUUCCUGGUGUAGCGGUGGAAUGCGCAGAUAUCAGGAGGAAUACCCAUAGCGAAGGCAGCUCGCUGGGACAGUACUGACGCUAAGGCGCGAAAGCGUGGGGAGCGAACAGG